UACGUAGGGACCGAGCGUUGUCCGGAGUCAUUGGGCGUAAAGAGCUCGUAGGCGGCUGUUCAAGUCGAACGUGAAAACUCGGAGCUCAACUCCGAGCCUGCGUUCGAUACUGGACGGCUAGAGUCUGGCAGGGGGAUCUGGAAUUCCUGGUGUAGCGGUGGAAUGCGCAGAUAUCAGGAGGAACACCGGUGGCGAAGGCGGCUAUCUGGACAGUGACUGACGCUGAGACGCGAAAGCGUGGGGAGCAAACAGG
rnacentral:rRNA from 1 species